rnacentral:lncRNA from 1 species
UUGCACCAUCUUGUCACGUCCUGACCAGUAGAGGGUGUAGUUGGGUCAGGACGUGGCAGAAGGACAGCUGUUACAGAAUUACCCACCAAACCAGGACCAAGCGGCGGAAGAGGAAGGAGCAGCAGGAGUACAGCGUGAUGGACCAAUGGACUUGGGAACAAAUCCUGGACGGAGAGGGACCAUGGACUCAGGCUGGGGAUUAUCGCCUCCCGCAGUGGGAGAUUGAAGCGGCGAGAGCGGAGAGGCGCUAUUACGAGGAGAGAGAGCGCAACGAGGCAGCCCCAAUAAAAACAUUUUGGGGGGGGGCACACGGGACAGUCGGUGGAGCGGAGGUCGGAACCAGAGCCAGUCGGGCUGACAUGGGAGGUGAGCGAGGGGUACGAGGCAGAGACUGUGACAGAGUUAAUGGGUAAAUUAAAGGAGAGAGAGAUGAGAGAGCUGCUAGUGUGGUGCAUAAAGUACGGCAUUCGCCCUAAUGAGCGUGUCGUGGGAAUGAUGUCACCUGAGGCAGCUCUCCAUACUCGUCCUGAGGUGCGUGCUGGUUGUCUGAUAAAGACUGUGCCUGCGCCCAGAAACAGGCCUCCUGCAUGUCUUCCCAGCCCUGCACGUCCUGUGCCUACGCCCAGAACCAGGCCUCCUGCAUGUCUUCCCAUCCUGGUCAAACCCGUGCCUUCUCCACGGACCAGUCCUCCAGUGGGUCUCCUCCAGUGGGUCUCCCCAUCCUGGUCAAACCCGUGCCUCCUCCACGGACCAGUCCUCCAGUGGGUCUCUCCACCCUGGUCUCUCCUGUGCCACCUCCUCAAACCAGGCCUCCAGCGGGUCUUCCCAGACUGGUGAGUCCAGCGCCUGCGCCCAGAGCCAGGCCUCCUUCUUGUCUCCCCAGCCUGGUGAAUCCUGAGCCGGAUCUGCCAGAGUGGCCCGUCGUGCCUGGUCUGCCAGAGUGGCCCGCCAGAGUGGCCCGUCGUGUCGGAUCUGCCAGAGUGGCCCGCCUGUCCUCCGGCCUAGCCCGAGUGGCCCGACUGUCCUCCGGCCCAGCCCGAGUGGCCCGCCUGUCCUCCGGCCCAGCCCGAGUGGCCCGCCUGUCCUCCGGCCCAGCGUGAGUGGGCCUGUCUGCCAGGGUCAGCUCGAGUAGCCCGUCUGCCCGGCGCAGCUAUCAGCGCCACCAAAGUGGACGACGCCGAAGGUGGAGCAAGGUUUACGUCCCGCACCUGAG